rnacentral:rRNA from 1 species
UACGGGGGGAGCAAGCGUUGUUCGGAUUUACUGGGCGUAAAGGGCGCGUAGGCGGCCACCGCAAGUCGACUGUGAAAUCUCCGGGCUUAACCCGGAAAGGUCAGCCGAUACUGCGGGGCUAGAGUGCAGAAGGGGCAACUGGAAUUCUCGGUGUAGCGGUGAAAUGCGUAGAUAUCGGGAGGAACACCUGCGGCGAAGGCGGGUUGCUGGGCUGACACUGACGCUGAGGCGCGAAAGCUAGGGGAGCGAACGGGAUUAGAAACCCCCGUAGUCC